GAUGAACGCUGGCGGCGUGCUUAACACAUGCAAGUCGAGCGAAGCGCUUAAGUUUGAUUCUUCGGAUGAAGACUUUUGUGACUGAGCGGCGGACGGGUGAGUAACGCGUGGGUAACCUGCCUCAUACAGGGGGAUAACAGUUAGAAAUGACUGCUAAUACCGCAUAAGACCACAGGGUCGCAUGACCCGGUGGUAAAAACUCCGGUGGUAUGAGAUGGACCCGCGUCUGAUUAGCUAGUUGGUGGGGUAACGGCUCACCAAGGCGACGAUCAGUAGCCGACCUGAGAGGGUGACCGGCCACAUUGGGACUGAGACACGGCCCAAACUCCUACGGGAGGCAGCAGUGGGGAAUAUUGCACAAUGAGCGAAAGCCUGAUGCAGCGACGCCGCGUGAAGGAUGAAGUAUUUCGGUAUGUAAACUUCUAUCAGCAGGGAAGAAAAUGACGG
rnacentral:rRNA from 1 species